AUUUGACUCUCUGCACAUCUGCGUGACCCCCUGCAAAGUUUUUCUUCGAUUGGUUUUGACAGAGGGACGUCUUACCUUUUCAACGGCUGGUGAAGGUCCUUAAUGAAAGGUGUGUUUUGUGUUCCUGCCAAGGUGCUUUACUCACAAUAGAUGGCUGUGCUGCCCAGAGGGACCUUGAACAAGUUGUCUUUGGCAUCUACAGCAUUAAUGCUGAGGGAGGUGAUGCCACCACCACUCCAGUUGAUGUUGGAAUAGUGAUUGAGGGUGUUGAAGUGCUUCACGACUUGGGAGACAACGCUUCUGCAUGUGCACUCUUAAUGGGUGUCAUAUAUGCAAUGAACCUGAACUGAAAACGUUCUUUGAGGUGCUUCAGAAAAUCUUCCUCCAGCUGGAUGCUACUCUCAACCAAGGUACAGAUGAUUAAAAACAAACUGUAUGAGUGAGCCAACACUGAGCUUGUGGCGUUUAACAUGAAGGCCUGCUUUGCACUUGAAACCAUUUAAUUGAAAAUCACUUGAAAGAUUAUAUACCUUUUUUUUCUUUUUUUGUUACAUGCAUGUAAAGUGUGUCCAGAGUUGUGAAUUAUUAUUAUUAUUAUUAUUUUUUUUUAUAAAGGUAAAGAACUUUAAAUGCUCCCAUUCAUGGGUAUGUUUAACCGUUUUUUUUUUUGUCUUUGAUAAACAGUUGUGUUGUAUUGUUGAUGAACUCUUGUGUUGUUGAAUAAAGGAACUAACAAAUGUUGAGUUGAGUUUACUGAAGUAAUUUGUGUGGAACCUGUUGACAAACUAGAGUUAAUUCAAUUUAACUAGUAAAAAUUAAAUUUAGUGAAAGCAUUUUAUUUUGAUUAAUUACGCUUGAAUUGAAUGUUUUGUUGUAAAAUCAUUAGCUUACUUUGAAUAGACAAAUAUGUAAUAUGCAACUUCUAAACAAAUUUUGUUAGUCCAUAUAACAUAACUGAUUUUAGUUGUCUCUUGUUGAGCAAAAAUUAGUGAUAAUAGUUGGCUUGAGUCAAAAAUAUUAUUUCUCCCUAAAACAACUCCAUUAAGUUAGAUAACCUUGAAAUAUUUGUUUUCAACUUUCAUAAUUAAAUUGUGGAACCUGUUGACAAGAAAAAAUUAAUUAAACUCAAGGUUUCAUUUUUUUGAGUGCAUUUUACCUGAAUGUUGUGCCGUGGCUCAAGAAGGUACCUGCUGAUACUCUAACUCUCUUAAUUUUAAAACAAUUAUACUUUUUGACAUUUAAAAAAUAUAUACAUAUUUAAGAGACCCAUGCUAAUUUAUAAAAUUAUCAUUAGUUCUCAUACAUAGUUUAUUUGAUGGUAUUAUAAGUCAUUUACCAAAAUGUGGCCCAUUUUAGCUGACUUCACCCUAUUCCUUAAAACAAAAUCUCUUGUUUUAACUGUGAUUGAAUGCAAAUUGCAGAUUGAUAUUAUUAUUAUUUACUAUAGUAUUAUUUGAAUUCAUUGUAAAAUGAAGUUAAUGUUAAAUUAAUAAUUUUAAUUUCUUGAAAAAGAAAAUAGGAGUAACUUCUGUAAUUAAAAAUGUCAUCAAAUCAGGAGUCUGUUUUCAGCAUUUAAACCUCAAAAUCAUGAUACCCUUCAAUAAUAUAAUUGAACAUAUAGGCUACAAUUAGGUUUAUGCAUUCCCCAUACAUGAAGAAAAUAAGGUUGCAUCCCAGGAGCUCUAAAAAAAAUGUAUAGAGUAGUGAAUGCAGCCAAGGAAAACAUGAAGAAAAGAAAAGUGGAAAAUAACACAGGUAAGACAAAUAAAUUAAUUAUUUCCAUUUACAUAUUAAACUGUUGGUAAGCCGACAAGAAAAGUUAUUUAGGAAAAUUAUUAUUUUAGUUAUUGCAUUUGGUCCACUUUGUAAUGUUCUCUGCCUGACGCUCCGAGGUUUGUUUUGUAAUGUUUGCCAUGUAGGUUGUGUGUGUGUGUGUGUGUGUGUGUAUUUCAGUGUGUAGGCCUAUUUCAGUAGGCUACAAGUAUGUUCUCUUAAUUUUAUUUAGUUAUUUUUGAUUCAUGCAAAAUGAUCCAGUCAUUUUAGUCUAUGAUAGUUUAUAGUGAAGACUGUUUCAAGAAAUGAGUCCAAGCAUUUUGGAAAAACAAUAUCUCAUUCAAGAUAUUUUUUUAAUUAAUAUUAUUCUGUAUUUUAAUUGCACAUAUUUAUUGAAUAAAACUAAAUUAAAUUAUUAAAAUUAAAAUAGAAUAUUUUACAAACUUUACUAAAAACUUUACAAAAAUUAUUACAAUUAAUCUUUGUAAGGAAAGAACCGUGUUUUCUCACAGGCUUUGCGAGCGUGCGAGCUGCUUGUGCACAGAGAGAGAGAGAGAGAGAGAGACUAAAGCAGAUAUUUUUUUUAUUUUACAUCUACACCUGUUGUACAGAGUUUUUUAUUUCUUGUUUAUUUAAAA